CUAUUAACAGCCCCCGCCCAAGUAUUUAUGGAAUGGAUAUCUUUGUAUCUCAACAGCAAGAUCAACAUAAAGGCAGAGAGGCUUUCAGAUCCCUAAGUGCAGAAGGUGUUUUGCCGUCAAAUGUCUACACGGAGGAUUUUGCAGAGGCUGAAACCUAAAUCUUGGAUUUACCUCGCUGAACACAGACUUCGGCCCCAGAAGUUCUGGGCGAUCAAGAUUAUCUACGUUUUGAGGACUUUGUUUCCUAACCCCUGACUUUCAUCUGGACUCAGAUCAAGCUGGCAGCUUCCUGCUUCCUCCGUCUUCUGGACCAAGGCAUAAGCGUACCCUGUCCACCCUGUUUACUCCUGGUCUCACCAAGCUCAUUCAAACAGCACCAGAGAAAUCAUCUGAACAAACAGCACCAGAGAAAUCAUCUGCACAAACCCUGCUUCGUAAACCUGGACCCCGAAUCCCUCUACCCCUGGCAAUCUGACUGCACCUAUUUAUUGGCGAUCCACCCGUUCACGUUCCUGAUUAUUUGCUGAAAAAACUCUAUUUUACUGAUUCAGUUUCUUCCAAGUGUACUUCUGUAUGUGGGUCAGAUCUAUUUCGAAAACGAUGACACCCAGUGAGUGAGUGAGUAAGGAAGGAGAGGAUGUGCCUGCUGCCAAACUGAAAUUUGCAGCUGAUGGUUCAACAGGCCAGAUGUCUCCUGAAAAGAGGUUUGGUGGUGACAGGAUCAUGCUGAGGGUCUGUUUUGUGUCAUUAGAACUUGUGCAUUGCACAAAGUGGAUGGGAUAACAAACAAGGAUGGCUACCUACAUAUUUUACUACAUAAUUCACACAAAUAAACAACUUAAUGGUUGAAACAUGGA